rnacentral:rRNA from 1 species
GACAGAGGUCCCGAGCGUUAGGCGGAAUCACUGGGCUUAAAGCGUGUGUAGGCGGAUGCCUAAGUACCUUGUGAAAUCCCACGGCUCACCCGUGGAACUGCUCGGUAUACUGGGUGUCUUGAGCCAUUUAGGGGCUACCGGAACAAAUGGUGGAGCGGUGAAAUGCGUAGAUAUCAUUUGGAACGCCAAUGGUGAAAACAGGUAGCUGGGAGUGUGCUGACGCUGAGACACGAAAGCCAGGGGAGCAAACGGG